rnacentral:rRNA from 1 species
ACGCUCGACACCUACGGGGGGCAGCAGUGAGGAAUAUUGGUCAAUGGGCGCUAGCCUGAACCAGCCAAGUAGCGUGAAGGAUGAAGGCUCUAUGGGUCGUAAACUCCUUUUAUAUAAGAAUAAAGUGCAGUAUGUAUACUGUUUUGUAUGUAUUAUAUGAAUAAGGGUCGGCUAACUCCGUGCUAGCAGCCGCGGUAAUCUGAGGCGGGCGUGGCAAGGC